AGAGUUUGAUCAUGGCUCAGAUUGAACGCUGGCGGCAUGCCUUACACAUGCAAGUCGAACGGCAGCGCGGGGCAACCUGGCGGCGAGUGGCGAACGGGUGAGUAAUAUAUCGGAACGUACCCUGGAGUGGGGGAUAACGUAGCGAAAGUUACGCUAAUACCGCAUACGAUCUAAGGAUGAAAGUGGGGGAUUCGCAAGAACCUCAUGCUCCUGGAGCGGCCGAUAUCUGAUUAGCUAGUUGGUAGGGUAAAAGCCUACCAAGGCAUCGAUCAGUAGCUGGUCUGAGAGGACGACCAGCCACACUGGAACUGAGACACGGUCCAGACUCCUACGGGAGGCAGCAGUGGGGAAUUUUGGACAAUGGGCGCAAGCCUGAUCCAGCAAUGCCGCGUGAGUGAAGAAGGCCUUCGGGUUGUAAAGCUCUUUUGUCAGGGAAGAAACGGGUCUUUCUAAUACAGAGAUCUAAUGACGGUACCUGAAGAAUAAGCACCGGCUAACUACGUGCCAGCAGCCGCGGUAAUACGUAGGGUGCAAGCGUUAAUCGGAAUUACUGGGCGUAAAGCGUGCGCAGGCGGUUUUGUAAGACUGUCGUGAAAUCCCCGGGCUCAACCUGGGAAUGGCGAUGGUGACUGCAAGGCUAGAGUUUGGCAGAGGGGGGUAGAAUUCCACGUGUAGCAGUGAAAUGCGUAGAUAUGUGGAGGAACACCGAUGGCGAAGGCAGCCCCCUGGGUCAAAACUGACGCUCAUGCACGAAAGCGUGGGGAGCAAACAGGAUUAGAUACCCUGGUAGUCCACGCCCUAAACGAUGUCUACUAGUUGUCGGGUUUUAAUUAACUUGGUAACGCAGCUAACGCGUGAAGUAGACCGCCUGGGGAGUACGGUCGCAAGAUUAAAACUCAAAGGAAUUGACGGGGACCCGCACAAGCGGUGGAUGAUGUGGAUUAAUUCGAUGCAACGCGAAAAACCUUACCUACCCUUGACAUGGCAGAAAUCCUCGAGAGAUUGAGGAGUGCUCGAAAGAGAAUCUGCACGCAGGUGCUGCAUGGCUGUCGUCAGCUCGUGUCGUGAGAUGUUGGGUUAAGUCCCGCAACGAGCGCAACCCUUGUCAUUAGUUGCUACGAAAGAGCACUCCAAUGAGACUGCCGGUGACAAACCGGAGGAAGGUGGGGAUGACGUCAAGUCCUCAUGGCCCUUAUGGGUAGGGCUUCACACGUCAUACAAUGGUACAUACAGAGGGCCGCCAACCCGCGAGGGGGAGCUAAUCCCAGAAAGUGUAUCGUAGUCCGGAUUGUAGUCUGCAACUCGACUGCAUGAAGUUGGAAUCGCUAGUAAUCGCGGAUCAGCAUGUCGCGGUGAAUACGUUCCCGGGUCUUGUACACACCGCCCGUCACACCAUGGGAGCGGGUUUUACCAGAAGUAGGUAGCUUAACCGCAAGGAGGGCGCUUACCACGGUAGGAUUCGUGACUGGGGUGAAGUCGUAACAAGGUAACCGUA
rnacentral:rRNA from 1 species